GAUCCUAUUUUAGGAAAAUAGUACAAAAGUUUUACUUGAAUAAUGAGUAAUUAAAUAGUAUUGUUUUAAUAUGAUACUACAGUUCCCCUUUAUUCAAAACACUAAGGGGCGGCAACAUACCCUACUAUGCACUAGGGUUUGUCACCCCUUUUACAUAGGAUGAGUUCUUGGGCCUGUCUCAAAUUAUCGGGUUAUACAUAUUGAAGGUUUAGCCCAGAUGAAUAACCUUGAUAUAAUAUCAGUUUAUGUGAGCAAUUCUGUUGUAAUGUCAACUUGUCUGAGCAGCCCUAAUAUACUGUCAACUUGUGUGACCAACUUAUUCCCGUG
rnacentral:lncRNA from 1 species